rnacentral:rRNA from 1 species
UGACGCCGGCGGUUGCCUACACAUGCAAGUCGAACGAGGUAGCAAUACCUAGUGGCGGACGGGUGAGGAAUACGUAGGGAUCUGCCUUUAAGUGGGGGAUAACCCGGGGAAACCCGGAUUAAUACCGCAUGAUCUCGCAAGAGCAGAGAGGGGGACCGCAAGGCCUCUCGCUUUUAGAGGAACCUACGUCGGAUUAGCUAGUUGGUGAGGUAAUGGCUCACCAAGGCGACGAUCCGUAACUGGUCUGAGAGGAUGAUCAGUCACACCGGAACUGAGACACGGUCCGGACUCCUACGGGAGGCAGCAGUGGGGAAUAUUGGACAAUGGGCGAAAGCCUGAUCCAGCAAUACCGCGUGUGUGAAGAAGGCCUUCGGGUUGUAAAGCACUUUAAGUUGGGAAGAAAAAGCUUCACCUAAUACGUGGAGCCUUGACGGUACCGACAGAAU